GCCUGAUUCAGCCAUGCCUUGAGAGCAUCAGGGACGAGGCAUCAUCCACAUCACUAUGCAACCUGUUCCAGUGCCUCACCACCCUCACUGUAUAACAUUUUUUUCCUUAUAGACAACCUAAAUCUACCCUAUUUAAGCUGGAAGUCAUUUCCCCUUGUUCUAUCACCACAGCCUGUGCUAAAGUCUCUGUCCCCUUCUUUUCCAUAGCUCCCCUUUCAGGCCACUAUCAGGUCACCUCAUAUUUCUCUUCCCCAGGCUGCACAGCCCCAGAUCUCAACCUGUCCUCAAAGGAGAAGUGUUCCAUCCCUUGCACCAUUUUUGUGGUCCUCCUCUGGAUGCACUCCAACCGAUCCAUGUAUUUCCUGUACUGAAGACUCCACAUCUGGACACACUACUCCAGACGGCAGCAGUGGGGCAGCCUGACAGAAUGGCCUCUAACAUGGAAGCGCGUAUGGAGAAAUGGUGUAGGAUUCAAGAAU
ensembl:lncRNA